UACGAAGGGGACUAGCGUUGUUCGGAAUCACUGGGCGUAAAGCGCACGUAGGCGGCUUUGUAAGUCAGGGGUGAAAUCCCGGGGCUCAACCUCGGAACUGCCUUUGAUACUGCAAGUCUUGAGUCCGAUAGAGGUGGGUGGAAUUCCUAGUGUAGAGGUGAAAUUCGUAGAUAUUAGGAAGAACACCGGUGGCGAAGGCGGCCCACGGGAUCGGUACUGACGCUGAGGUGCGAAAGCGUGGGGAGCAAACAGG
rnacentral:rRNA from 1 species